rnacentral:rRNA from 1 species
GUGCCAGCCGCCGCGGUAAUACGAACUGUGCGAACGUUAUUCGGAAUCACUGGGCUUAAAGGGUGCGUAGGCGGUUCGUUAAGUCAGGUGUGAAAUCCCUCGGCUCAACCGGGGAAUUGCGCUUGAAACUAGCGGGCUGGAGCGAGGCAGGGGUAUGUGGAACUUCCGGUGGAGCGGUGAAAUGUGUAGAUAUCGGAAGGAACGCCGGUGGCGAAAGCGGCAUACUGGGCCUUGUCUGACGCUGAGGCACGAAAGCCAGGGGAGUGAACGGGAUUAGAUACCCCGGUAAUCCUGGCCGUAAACACGGAGCACUGGAGGGGAGGGGCUUCGGCCUUUUCCCUCGCAGCGAAAGCGUUAAGUGCUCCGCCUGGGGAGUAUGGUCGCAAGGCUGAA